CCCCAGGACUCCCAAGUCUGCCUACUCACUUCUUAAGACUGAACAUAGACCACCCACCAUGGAGUCUGGGCUCAGCUGGCUUCUCCUUGUUGCUCUGUUACAAGGUGUCCAGUGUGAGGAGAAGCUGGUGGAGUCUGGGGGAGGCUUAGUCCAGCCUGUGGGGGCCCUGAGACUCACCUGUGUAGUCUCUGGAUUCUCAUUAAGCAGCUAUGAUAUCAGCUGGGUCCGCCAGGCCUCAGGGAAGGGCCUGGAGUGGGUCUCAUACAUUAGUAGUGGUGGUAGUACAUACUACCCAGACUCUGUGAAAGGCCGAUUCACCAUCUCCAAAGACAAUGGAAAAAACACUGUGUAUCUGCAAAUGGACCGUCUGAGGACUGAGGACACGGCCAAGUAUUACUGUGCAAGGGACACAGUG